rnacentral:rRNA from 1 species
UACGUAGGGGGCGAGCGUUGUCCGGAUUUACUGGGCGUAAAGCGCGUGUAGGCGGGAGAUUAAGUUGGGUGUGAAAGCCCGGGGCUCAACCCCGGGAUGCCGCCCAAGACUGGUUUCCUUGAGGACGGAAGAGGGGAGUGGAAUUCCUGGUGUAGCGGUGAAAUGCGUAGAGAUCAGGAGGAACACCCGUGGCGAAGGCGGCUCCCUGGUCCGUUUCUGACGCUGAGACGCGAAAGCGCGGGGAGCGAACGGG